GUAAGGCUAUUGUUUUCAGUUUCCUUAAACCAUGCAUUCAUUCCUUGCCCCUUUGCAUUCAUUAAGCAUGAUACUCAAUUACUUAGCCAACAUGUGUGUAUCUGCCAAGUCCAGUUCUCAAGGUAAUGGUGAUUUCAAGGAUAAGUAGACAUAGCGUCUUAGCUUUUAGGUAAUGGAUGGUUCAGUUAAAGAAAACCAACACGUAAACACAUAGCUAUAAGGUAGAGUAAUAACUACUGAAAUAGAAGAAUGGAGAAGCUAUCAUUGAGAAAAGAGGUCUGUAGUUUGCUGGGAAAUGGCACAAGUUUGGGAAAGUUCUUGAAGGAGGAAGAUUCUGGACGAUGAAGUGGGUAGACCCAAUCAGGAGAUAAAACAAUUAGAUAAAAACAUCUUAGGAAAGA